UUUCCGUAGGUGAACCUGCGGAAGGAUCAUUACAAAUCUUUGGGGGCUAGUCGCCGUGAAUAACGGUGUGCUGGUCUCACAUUAGCACAAGGUCGCAAGGCCUUGAUGUUUACGCUUGUUUGUUUGACAGAGUUAGUUUGAGAAUAAAUAAAGACAACUUUUAACAAUGGAUCUCUUGGCUCUUGCAUCGAUGAAGAACGAGC
rnacentral:misc_RNA from 1 species